rnacentral:rRNA from 1 species
ACACAUGCAGUCGAGCGAGGAAAUUGCUUCGGUAAUUUCCUAGCGGCGGACGGGUGAGUAACACGUGGGCAACCUGCCUGAUAGAGGGGGAUAGCCUCCCGAAAGGGAGAUUAAUACCGCAUAAAGUCAAAUGAAGGCAUCUUCAAAUGACCAAAGGAGUAAUCCGCUAUCAGAUGGGCCCGCGGCGCAUUAGCUAGUUGGUGAGGUAACGGCUCACCAAGGCGACGAUGCGUAGCCGACCUGAGAGGGUGAUCGGCCACAUUAGGACUGAGACACGGCCCAGACUCCUACGGGAGGCAGCAGUGGGGAAUAUUGCACAAUGGGGGAAACCCUGAUGCAGCAACGCCGCGUGAGUGAUGAAGGCCUUCGGGUUGUAAAGCUCUGUCUUCAGGGACGAUAAUGACGGUACCUGAGGAGGAAGCCACGGCUAACUACGUGCCAGCAGCCGCGGUAAUACGUAGGUGGCAAGCGUUGUCCGGAUUUACUGGGCGUAAAGGGAGCGUAGGCGGAUACUUAAGUGGGAUGUGAAAUACCUGGGCUUAACUUGGGUGCUGCAUUCCAAACUGGGUGUCUAGAGUGUUGGAGAGGAAAGUGGAAUUCCUAGUGUAGCGGUGAAAUGCGUAGAGAUUAGGAAGAACACCAGUGGCGAAGGCGACUUUCUGGACAAUAACUGACGCUGAGGCUCGAAAGCGUGGGGAGCAAACAGGAUUAGAUACCCUGGUAGUCCACGCCGUAAACGAUGGGUACUAGGUGUAGGGGGUAUCGACUCCCCCUGUGCCGCCGUUAACACAAUAAGUACCCCGCCUGGGGAGUACGGUCGCAAGAUUAAAACUCAAAGGAAUUGACGGGGCCCGCACAAGCAGCGGAGCAUGUGGUUUAAUUCGAAGCAACGCGAAGAACCUUACCUAGACUUGACAUCUCCUGAAUUACUCUUAAUCGAGGAAGUUCUCCCUUCGGGA